rnacentral:sRNA from 12 species
CCCGCCACGCCUCUCAACGAUGCGCAACAGGCGGGU